rnacentral:lncRNA from 1 species
GGAAGGGCCAUCUAUGGAAUGGAGUAUUACUCAGCCAAGAAAAGAAAUGAGGCACUGAUACAUGCUACAUGGAUGAACCUCAAGACCAUGGUGCUGACAGUGACAGAAGCCAGGUAUAAAAGGCCACAUGGGAUCGAACUCGGGACCUUGUGCUUGUGAGGCACGUGGCAGAACCACUGAGCUACAUCCCGGCCCUGGUAAAUACAGCUUUAAAGAAAGUAUAAAAACUACCCAUUCAGGGGCCUUACAAAUGGUGAAUUUUUCUGGGUGAAUUUGGUGCAUGCCCCUAACCUUGGAUACUGGGGAAGCUGAGGCGGGAGGGUCUUAAAUUCAGGGCCAGCCUGGGGAACUAGCAAGAUCACGGAAAGUACUAGGAAACAAAUUUUUAAAAAAGAUGUGGAGAUGAAGAUACAGCUGGCUGGAGCAUCCUGCAGAGGCCCUUGGUUCAGAAGCACUGGAGGAAGAAGAGCCGAAGGCCGUAAUGAAGAGGAGAAUCGGCAUCGAUAGGACACCGGCCCUUUCAGUGGUGAUGCCCGUCAGGGUGGACCCUGGCCGCCUGGCUCCAAGGCCAUCCGAGGUUUCCACUUCCUCCUCCAUGACACCUGGGCUCUCCAGAGCCUCCACGCUGGACCUGGACCACCCCUGGGUGGCUUCACAGCUGGCCGGGCUGGCUCAGGGGAGCAGGUGGCAAGGCCCCUGCCUCUGGGAUCCCAUGCCAGAUGUGGGCCAGAUGGCGGCCAGGCUGUGGACAGGGCCCUCCAUGGAGUGGCCUGCAGCUCUACCAGCCCAUGGGUCCAUCCUCCUUGUACCAGGCAUGUGCAGUGAGGUCCCCACUCUGGCCCAGUCAUGGCAGCCACAGCAGUUUGGGCCGAGAGCCCUGGGGAGGGGAUCCCUGGCUUUGCUGCUGUGGCCCACAUCUCACCUGCAGCUGAUGCCCUCGAAGUUCAUCCCAGCGAGGGCCACACGGCCCCCCUUUCUCCUUUAUUUUUAUGGUACUAGGGAUGGAACCCAGGGCCUCAUAUAUGCUGGGCACAUGCUCUACCACUGCACUACAUUCCCAGCCCUUUUCAAUCUAUCUAUCUAUCUAUCUAUCUAUUUAUUUAUUUUGAGACGGGGUCUCACGAUGUAGUCCAGGCUGGCCUUCAACUUGCAGCAGUCAUCCUGGCUCAGUCUCCCAAGUGUUGUGAUGACAGGUGUGCGCCACCACGGCUGGCUCCCUUUUUAUUUGAUUUUAUUUAUUUUUAAUUUUUUUUAUUUUAUUUUUUCCCUUUUCAUUUUAUUUUGAGACAGCUAUGUCCAGGCUAUGUUCAAACUUGCAGUCCUCCUGCCUUGGCCUCCUGAGUAGCCAGGAUUGCAGGUGCUCACCACUGUGUUCAACUGAGCCCCCUCAAGUUUGGUCUUGAUUGUUUACCACCUUGCUAAUGCCCCUAAUUAAAGAUGUUGCCUCCCC